rnacentral:rRNA from 1 species
ACCCAUGUGAACCAUACCAAACUGUUGCCUCGGCGGGGUCACGCCCCGGGUGCGUCGCAGCCCCGGAACCAGGCGCCCGCCGGAGGGACCAACCAAACUCUUUUCUGUAGUCCCCUCGCGGACGUUAUUUCUUACAGCUCUGAGCAAAAAUUCAAAAUGAAUCAAAACUUUCAACAACGGAUCUCUUGGUUCUGGCAUCGAUGAAGAACGCAGCGAAAUGCGAUAAGUAAUGUGAAUUGCAGAAUUCAGUGAAUCAUCGAAUCUUUGAACGCACAUUGCGCCCGCCAGUAUUCUGGCGGGCAUGCCUGUCCGAGCGUCAUUUCAACCCUCGAACCCCUCCGGGGGGUCGGCGUUGGGGACCUCGGGAGCCCCUAAGACGGGAUCCGGCCCCGAAAUACAGUGGCGGUCUCGCCGCAGCCUCUCCUGCGCAGUAGUUUGCACAACUCGCACCGGGAGCGCGGCGCGUCCACGUCCGUAAAACACCCAACUUCUGAAAUGUUGACCUCGGAUCAGGUAGGAAUACCCGCUGAACUUAAGCAUAUCAAUAAGCGGG